rnacentral:tRNA from 1 species
GGAGUAGAUAGGUGCUGGUGUGUCUCCUGGUCUUCAAAACCAGUGUGGGGUAUCUGGAUAUCCCGGGUGGGUUCAAUUCCCACAUGCUUCC